AUUAGCGAUACUCACUUAUCCCUGUAAAAAAUACGUAACUCUAUGACAGAUGAAGAAAUUUAUAUUUCAUGACAACUUGUCUAAUUAUAAUCGGCCAAAUUGAAAAAUAUAGAUAGUGAUAUAAAUAAAAAAAGGGUCAUCUUGUGGAUGGGUUAAAAGAACGGAACAAAUAGGAGUGAUGUCAGACCAGUUUUUA
rnacentral:misc_RNA from 1 species